CGCUACUGGCGGCUGAUGGGGUUUUCAACGUCGUUGUUGAGAUUCCGAAGGAGUCGAGGGCGAAGAUGGAGAUUGCGACUGAUGAGCUUUAUACGCCGAUAAAGCAGGAUACGAAGAAGGGGAAGCUCCGAUACUACCCGUACAACAUAAAUUGGAAUUACGGAAUGCUUCCACAGACAUGGGAAGAUCCAACCUCUGCCAAUGCAGAAGUUGAAGGGGCAUUAGGG
rnacentral:misc_RNA from 1 species